rnacentral:rRNA from 1 species
UACAGAGGCCUCGAGCGUUAGGCGGAAUCACUGGGCUUAAAGCGUGUGUAGGCGGAUUGCUAAGUACCUUGUGAAAUCCCACGGCUUAACCGUGGAACUGCUUGGUAUACUGGCUGUCUUGAGCCACUUAGGGGCGACCGGAACAAACGGUGGAGCGGUGAAAUGCGUAGAUAUCCGGAGGAACACCGGUGGCGAAGGCGGCUUCCUGGACCGACACUGACGCUGAGGCGCGAAGGCUAGGGGAGCAAACGGG